rnacentral:rRNA from 1 species
UGAGGAACAUGACCUUCGGCGGGGGAUAGCCGGCCCAACGGCCGGGUAAUACCGCGUACGACCACAUGGGGACAUCCCUGAGUGGUGAAAGCAGCAAUGCGCCGAUGGAGUGCCUCGCGGCCUAUCAGCUAGUUGGUGAGGUAAUGGCUCACCAAGGCGACGACGGGUAGCCGGCCUGAGAGGGUGACCCGGCCACACGUGGGACUGAGACGCGGCCCAGACCUCCGUACGGGAGCAG